GACUGAGCGAAGGACAAACCAUCCGUAGACACGGUGCUCACAACUAGGAAGACCUUCCUGCCCCAGAGCUGCCUCUGUCUUUCCAGAAAAACAGGAGAUCUUUUCCUAUUAAGGCAAAGAGACUACACUGAGGAGUAUGACAAGUUUUCAGCUUGAGAAGGGCUUGCAUUCUGUAGGAGAAAUGAACAAACAGCAUUAAUGUUGAUGAUGCAACAUGGAACAAGUGCUAUGACAGAGAUUAAAAAACAAGUGCUUGUUCAUUUACUGGAAAGACAGAAGACCGAUUCAGCCUGGAAAGAAAAAUCCCUGAGAAGAUGGCUUUCAGAUGGAAAGGACUUGCCUUGUCUUCAAUGAGACUUUGGACUGUGGACUUUUGAGUUAAUGCAAAAAUGAGUUAAGUCUUUGGGGGACUGUUGGAAAGGCAUGAUUGGUUUUGAAAUGUGAAGACAUGAAAUUUUGGAGGGGCCGGGGUAGAAUGAUAUGAUUUGGCUGUGUCCCCACCCAAAUCUCGUCUUGAAUUCCCACGUGUUGUGGGAAGGAUCCAGUGGAAGGUAAUUGAGUCAUGGGGGCAGGUUUUCCCCAUGCUGUUCUCAUUGAUAUUGAGUCUCAGUAGAUCCGAUGGUUUUAAAAAUGGGAGUUUCCCUGCCCAAGCCCUCUUCUCUUAUCUGCUUCCAUGUGAGACAUGCCUUUCACCUUCCCUCAUGAUUGUGAGGUCUUCCCACACACGUGGAACUGUAAGUCCAUUAAAUCUCUUUCUUUUGUAAAUUGCCCAGUCUCAGGUAUGUAUUUAUCAGCAGUGUGAAAACAACUAAUACACUACCUCAUAAGGUGGUGCAAUGAUAAAAUGAUAUAUGAAAACACUUUUAAUAGCAUUUGACACAUGGUAAGUGUUCUGUAAGGAUUAGCUACAAUUUUUACUGUUAAUAAUUAGUUUCUUCUCACUGGCUUCUACCUCCCUCAAUUGAUGAGUGCUUAGGAGAGAUGGCAUGACUAGAGCACAGGCCUAAUGGAGCAGACCACCCAAAGCUACCAUGCAUGCAAGGAAACUGAACUUAAUAGAGCUUUGACUUUAAUCUGAGAAUGCUCAGUGUAGUGCUCUGUUUGGUCCUUCCAGAACACUGAAUGCACCUUGAGGAUGGUAUUUGGUUUUCAUAAUCUCUUUAUCCUAUUAUUUUUGCAGUGGUAUAAAUUAAGUCUGCAUUCUCAGGAAAUUCUCACUGCCCUCCAUCAGAUAUUUGUCAGAACUUAAGAGAGUCCUGAUUGAAGCCUUUUAAAUUCAACUUAAAGUUUGCUCCUAAGACUGGGCAAGUGUUCCUGGGGCUGAGUGUAUAAGGGGAGAGUUGGUGGAAGCCAGUGUGGUAAUCUUUUCAUGAAAGAGUCAUAUCAGCUUAUAUAUAUAUUCCAGUGAUUGGUGAUGUAGGGGGUGGCUAUCAGAUCCUUUCCUGAAAAUAAAUUUGGCUAUGAGUGGGGAAUAGGAUUUUAAAGAUAGCAUAUUUUAAUUAUGUUUUAAAAUCAAUUUCGCAUUCACAAGUUACAUAUGAAUAGAUUAUACUUGUGUAAAAAAAAAAACAAUUUCCCUCAAUAACUACCUGAUCUCAAUGUAUUUCAUGCCAGUUCUGAGAUUUCCUGAGAUAAAGACCCACUGUUCUCAGUUCGUGUGUGUGUAUAUGUGUAUCUGUAAAUUAUAUGUAUUAUUUGAUGCAUGUGUAUACAUUAAAAAAAUAAGUAUAUCAUAUUGAACCUAUAGUUCUAUAAUGGUUUUAUAUUUCCCCCUAAGCAUGUUAGUAUAUGUGGUAUAUUUUUGUUAGUAUAGAUAAAUGGCAUAUCUUACUUUGGCUAAACCACUGGUCACUUAAUGUAUUGAUAAUAAACUUUUUCAUUAUUAAAAACAAUGCUGCAAUUAAUAUCUCUGAUACAUAAUAGCUCCCUGGGCACAUUAUGUUAGAAAGUCAGACACAGAGAAG
rnacentral:lncRNA from 1 species